rnacentral:rRNA from 1 species
AACGAACGCUGGCGGCAGGCCUAACACAUGCAAGUCGAACGGUUGUAGCAAUACAGCAGUGGCGCACGGGUGAGUAACGCGUGGGAACAUACCUUAGAGUUCGGAAUAACCUCGGGGAACUGAGGCUAAUACCGGAUAUUCUCUCCGGAGGAAAGAUUUAUCGCUCUAAGAUUGGCCCGCGUCAGAUUAGCUAGUUGGUGAGGUAAUGGCUCACCAAGGCUCCGAUCUGUAGCUGGUCUGAGAGGACGACCAGCCACACUGGAACUGAGACACGGUCCAGACUCCUACGGGAGGCAGCAGUGGGGAAUAUUGGACAAUGGGCGAAAGCCUGAUCCAGCCAUGCCGCGUGAAUGAUGAAGGCCUUAGGGUUGUAAAGUUCUUUUGCCAGGGAAGAUAAUGACGGUACCUGGAGAAUAAGCACCGGCUAACUUCGUGCCAGCCGCCGCAGUAA